GGUCCAGUUAUUAGCAAGCAGGUGUGUGCUUUAAUCAAAGUUUUCCUUACCAAUCAGUGUCUUGAUUCUAAAUUGAGAUAGUGAACUGGAAGUACUUAUUAUAUUUUUAAUCACUAGACAUUAUUAUAUACUGGGUGUUCUUCUGAAAGAAACUAAUUUGCUACUGUUGUUAGGCAUAUCAGUGGCAGCUUUUUGGGUUCUUUGAAUUCUUAAUAUGUGCAUGUCCUGCUUACUUAUGACUGUUAUUUCUAUAUAUUCUGUAUUAUUGA
rnacentral:misc_RNA from 1 species